GCAAGCGCAACAUACAUAUUUUGAUACAGCUACCAUAUAACUGGCAACGUGUGCAAGCGGACGUUCCCGAAAUCCGAUGCGAAGCAAAGAGAGGGCGCAUGGAAUUCCGGAAUGCGGACGAUGGGUCGUCUACGGCCCUGAUCUUGGAUGCAGCCAGCUCGUGAUCGAGAGGCGUUUAAGGGAUGGCAACAGCGGCGGAUGGCAAAAAGAACGGGUUCGUCUUUGACUUCGCUCGUGAGGCUUCAAGUGGCGAAGAAAAAAAUGAAACUUGUACUUUUAAAAGCUUCGGGAAGUUAUUGGUACAGGAAUUUAUCUGACGUUUUUGUAAAUUGCGCGUUGAAAAGACUUAAGAAUUAAGAUUUCAUCGAAGGACAACCUGAAUCUUCCUUUAAUUUUCACUUUUAAUUAUAUAACUUUUGUUUAAUUCAACAUUGGAUUAGCGCGUUUAAUUUGUAUUAUUUUUUCAAUCAAUUCCGCGAUUUAAUACUGAGGAUAUGAAAAAUAGAUCCUACGAUUUUACGAAGUUUGAAGAAAUUGAAAUAUCCACAGUUAUAGCAUAAGCAAUCUUUUUAAAUGGUGAAAAUUUUCUUUAUGCCUCUGUCUUCUUCACCGUUAUGGUCAAAUGUUAUUUUAAUGCAGUACUUUAAGAAAACAAUAUAUUCGUAUCUUUCCUUGAAAAAACAUUAUAUUUAUCUUUUGUAUCUUGACAAAAUCAAUACACGUAUUUUACAUCA